AUUGAACGCUGGCGGCAGGCUUAACACAUGCAAGUCGAGCGGAGCUUCUUGGCUUGCACCUUAUCUUAGCGGCGGACGGGUGAGUAAUGCUUAGGAAUCUGCCUAUUAGUGGGGGACAACAUUCCGAAAGGAAUGCUAAUACCGCAUACGCCCUACGGGGGAAAGCAGGGGAUCUUCGGACCUUGCGCUAAUAGAUGAGCCUAAGUCGGAUUAGCUAGUUGGUGGGGUAAAGGCCUACCAAGGCGACGAAAGGUAACGGGUCUUAGAGGAUGAUUUGUCUUUCUUUGACUGAGACACGGCCCAGACUCCUACGGGAGGCGGCAGUGGGGAAUAUUGGACAAUGGGCGGAAGCCUGAUCCAGCCAUGCCGCGUGUGUGAAGAAGGCCUUUUGGUUGUAAAGCACUUUAAGCGAGGAGGAGGCUACCUGGAUUAAUACUCUAGGAUAGUGGACGUUACUCGCAGAAUAAGCACCGGCUAACUCUGUGCCAGCAGCCGCUGUAACAC
rnacentral:rRNA from 1 species